rnacentral:rRNA from 1 species
GACGAACGCUGACGGCGUGCCUAAUACAUGCAAGUCGAACGAACCGCGACUAGGUGCUUGCACUUGGUCAAGGUGAGUGGCGAACGGGUGAGUAACACGUGGGUAACCUACCUCAUAGUGGGGGAUAACAGUCGGAAACGACUGCUAAUACCGCAUAGGACAUAGGAUCACAUGAUCCAGUGAGGAAAGGUGGCGCAAGCUAUCGCUAAGAGAUGGACCCGCGGUGCAUUAGCUAGUUGGUAGGGUAAAGGCCUACCAAGGCGAUGAUGCAUAGCCGACCUGAGAGGGUGAUCGGCCACAUUGGGACUGAGACACGGCCCAAACUCCUACGGGAGGCAGCAGUAGGGAAUCUUCCGCAAUGGACGCAAGUCUGACGGAGCAACGCCGCGUGAGUGAAGAAGGUCUUCGGAUCGUAAAGCUCUGUUGUUAGAGAAGAACAGCGCAUAGAGUAACUGUUAUGCGUGUGACGGUAUCUAACCAGAAAGCCACGGCUAACUACGUG